rnacentral:piRNA from 1 species
UCUUGAAGAUUUUCAAUCUUAACAGUGGG